CGAACACGGAGAACCAUGUCGGAAGAUCGCGGUCAUUGACCAAAAUCACAAAAAUCAGAUGCAGGGUACCAUCCCUGAUAACACUGCUGUUCAAGAUAUCCCAUAUCUCAGAACCAGGGAUAUGCCACUGCAGCUGACCUUGAGAGUUCACUCUCUAUACCUGCAACUCCUCGUCUGAUACUUCUUGGAGAAACGAGAAGACGCUUCCAGCGCUGGAUGCUCAGCCUUGAGGGCCAAAUUUGCGAAGGGAUCCAGUCCACCUUUGUGACAGGGCUGGUGUCUUUUUUUCCUGUUUUCACGCUUGAAUUCAUCCAGAGAGACCAAAAAAGGGACAAAUGCUGCAAAGGGGGAAAAAAAGAAGAACUGUCAAUUCACAUGUCGCCAGCCUCUUGAGCAAGCUCAUGGACUUUUAGUGGGAUUUCAUUUGAAAAUG